rnacentral:rRNA from 1 species
UCGUAACAAGGUCUCCGUUGGUGAACCAGCGGAGGGAUCAUUACCGAGUUUACAACUCCCAAACCCCUGUGAACAUACCUUAUGUUGCCUCGGCGGAUCAGCCCGCGCCCCGUAAAAAGGGACGGCCCGCCGCAGGAACCUUAAACUCUGUUUUUAGUGGAACUUCUGAGUAUAAAAAACAAAUAAAUCAAAACUUUCAACAACGGAUCUCUUGGUUCUGGCAUCGAUGAAGAACGCAGCAAAAUGCGAUAAGUAAUGUGAAUUGCAGAAUUCAGUGAAUCAUCGAAUCUUUGAACGCACAUUGCGCCCGCCAGUAUUCUGGCGGGCAUGCCUGUUCGAGCGUCAUUUCAACCCUCAAGCCCAGCUUGGUGUUGGGAGCUGCAGUCCUGCUGCACUCCCCAAAUACAUUGGCGGUCACGUCGAGCUUCCAUAGCGUAGUAAUUUACAUAUCGUUACUGGUAAUCGUCGCGGCCACGCCGUUAAACCCCAACUUCUGAAUGUUGACCUCGGAUCAGGUAGGAAUACCCGCUGAACUUAAGCAUAUCAAUAAGC